GUGCUUGAUAAGAAGCAGUGUGGACAACUCUAAAGGACACUGGAAGGGAAGAGGAAGGAAGUACAUUGGUUCUUCAGGAGGCGGGGGAUGCAAUGGACAGGAGAAGUAGCAGUGACAUGGUACCGUCUUGACUCUUGCAAACAAAAUCUACCCUGGUUACCACAAAUGCUUUUCUCCAUGCCUUUGCUUUUGAAAGUAUUAGCUACAAGGAUGAGUCUGGGAUCCCAAGUGGACACUGUGGUGAAAAGCAUGGCUGCUUCUGGAAAGAACUCAGAUGAAGAGAAGGAGGGUAAGCGUUCCAGUUUCAUGGCUAGUGGGUGGAAGAUACUUGGCAACUCCCUUCUAGGACUAGCAUUCUGAUUUUGGAGAUCCCAUAUACACUGGCUUUUCAGGUAGUAUAGGAUGCAAUGGACAGGACAAGUUGAAGUGAUAUGGCGUCCAUUUUACCUUGCAACCAGACCCAUUGUGGGUUCCAUAACCCAUAUAUGUGUGUGUGUGUGUGGGUGUGUGUGUGUAUUUGUCUUUAUUUUAUGGCUAAUUUAACUCUAUGAAACAAGUUUUUAUAUUUUCUUGAAAUCAGUAAAAAUUAUAUACAACUGAAAAUGAGAUUGAUAGAUACCCCAUACUCUCAAUUCAUCAGUUCUCCAACUAUAGUUGCGGUAAGACGUUUCUCCCAGGUGACGUAAAUGGAGGCUGCUACCACCAACUAUAUUUCAUUCAGUUCAACAUCACACCUCAUUCUCAGUCUACCUAUGGAAUACAUCAUGGAGGAGAAAAUCUCAGGUCUAUGAGGACUGCAGUUUCAUGGGGAGAGGCUAUUUCAUCCCAUUCUCAAGAUAAUUGGUUGCAGAAUAAGAUUUCAGAGAAUAGCUUGUAGAGCCUGGAGGUGUCUGUAAGAAAGAGAACUGACUUCUUACUCUUUAUCUGGGUAUUUUCUGGAACCAAGAAACUAUAGCAUAUCCUAGUGCUGCCAUGGUAGAGCAAAACACAGAGAGGGAGAUUCUGUGUGAUCUUAACUGGUGCCUUCUUGUAUUUUUGGGAAAAAAUUCUCAGGGACGCUGGGACCAAGGUUGGUCAAAAGAGGUCCUUAAAGGGAGGAAGUCUACUAGGAAGGAGGUUAAAGACACCUAUGAGAGUAGUCCCUGCUGGGACUGUGAAGUACUGUGCCUGGAAAAAGGCAGAGCCACUACCCCACCCUAAAUGGCCUUCCUUCCCUCAGAGCAUACAAAGAGGACUCAGUGGUUUUAUCUCCAAAUGAAGAAGCAUUAAAGCCAAAGAAGGGUCAGGGGACUUAAGGCUGCCCAGGUGUUCUCUUGGCCAAUAGAGAAGUAGGCCAAGGACUUUUGGGGACAUCAUGGGAACAGGCAAGUUCUCAGAAAGAUGUUCUGAAGGUUAAACUACACAUCACAGGGACAAAGAGUACGUCAUGAGUGGUGUUACCAGUUGCAAAGAGAAUCAGUGAAGUCAAGGACCAGGCCCAACCAGACUUUCCUACCAAUUUUGACAAACCCUUCCUCUUUUGCCUUCUCACCCAACACCAGAAAGUCAAAGAUAGGAGAAACCAAUUGUGACUUCAGAUCUUCCUGAUCAGAGCCAGACAAGGAAGGCCAGAAGAGCUUGACUAAGAAGAGGAAGACUCCUGACAAUAUCAAGGAUAACUUUCUCCUCCUUUUUCCAAUCCAAGCAGCCAUGUCAAAUCUGUCCCGUGGACAACUGGGGGAAAGAGGGGAAGAAAUUUGAAUCCAAUUUGAGAUUUUAGUUUUAAAAUAGGCUAAGCUGAGUUUGAGUAUCUUAGAAGGGCUGGAAGGUUAUAGAACCCUGCUGAGUUAUUUUUUUAAGGAUGGAAAAGGGAGAUUUUGACAUAGCAUGUUUGAAGAACAGGAAUGGAAAACAAAGGGAAACAACAAUCAAAAGAAACUGCUUUUGUUUCUCACCCAAUUUGCUAGGCCUCUUUUCAAACAAGUUUUACUGUUAAGGAGUUCAUUGUACGAUCUGUCAAUGUGACCAAAAUAAUCACCUUCUGAUCUAUCAGUUUAGUAAUUUAAUGUAAGCAAUAGGAAUAACUAAAGAGACUGUUAAAGGGUUAUUUGUCAUAUAACUUGCUAUUGGUGAUUCCAAAGCAAAAUGCGGCAGCUUUGUCAAGUUCAGUUACAUAUGUGGAAAGAGAGUUCCUUGCUUCCACAGACCCUUACUUAUUUGGGAGCACCCACUGACAUUUCUUACAGCCACUCCCAAUUAUCAGAUUUCAUUUAAGAAGGACAACUGUAGGCAUCAUCUAUAAAUAAACACAUAACACUAAUUUCAUCCUCAUAAUAGAUAAGAAACACCUUACUUUAUGCACCCUGCUAAAUCUCUUUUGCUAUUUCAGGGAAUUAAAUGAAAACCUGGCUAUUUCGUCAUGUGUGAUUAAAGGAAAGAAACAUAAAAUAGAUACUUCAGGUCAAUCAGCAGAAGUUUGCUGUAGUGAUCAAAUUCAUCAGUCCAUGUUCAAGGCUCCAUGAAACUUGAUGUGUAGAAACACAAUGAACAGGGGGCUGUCCAUUUAAGAUUCCAUUGCAUUGGGUUACACUGGUAGCAAUGAAUCAACCACUUUUAUUUUCUAUGUAUUUCCUAUGGAACUCAUCCUGAGCUAACAAUCCAGAGAAGCCAUCUUUUUCACUUUUCUGCAGAGGGCUCUACUUACUUUGGCUGGUGUGUUCGGGCUUCUAGACCAGCCUUGAUUCCUGGCAUGAAGGCAUGUUUGGCUUCUCUGGUCUCUGCCUUGUAUCCCUUCAGAAUUUCAAAAAAUGAACAUGAUUUUGAUGUACUGUGCCCUCUAUAUUUACCCUUUGGGAUAUUUCCUUCCCACUCUUUGGCCCAGAUUUUUGACUCUGUUUGUCCUAAACCACAGCCUCAAGUUUGGACCAUUGCAAAAUAUAAUAAGGUGACUGCAGUUUUCACUGUAGAGGAUAGUGAGGUAAGACAUCUUCAAUGGAUACUAUAGGAAGCAUUCCUAAUAACUCAAAUAUCCUGAAAUUAAUUCGCUCGUAGAGUCAUUAAAUCUCUUUCAAUUGACCUCAUUGAUGACUCUACUACUUUCAAAGUCACAUUGUUCACUUCUCCUUCACCCUAGGAAACAAUCAUGAGAUAGAUAGUAGAAGGUAGUGUUAAAGGGUGUUAUACAAACCUUGAUGAAGGGUGAGAAUCAGAGUUCCAGACUCAGACUUUAGAACUGGAUGGACUGGACUGCAUAUCCUGGCUCUACUAUUUUCCAAUGUACAGAAUUAGGCAAGUCAUUUAAAGUCCUUGCACAAUCUUUGUAAAAUGGAGACAAUAAUAUUUCCUCAAGUAAGUGGAUCAGUGAGGUGACAUAGCAGACAAAAGGCCAGGCAAGAGAGCAAAUUUCUCUUGGUUCAUGUCCCGGGUCACCACUUAUCAGGUGUGAAUACAUAGGCAAAGUACAAAUAUUUAAGUUCUCUGUGCUUUGGUUUCAUCAUCUAUUUAAUGAGGAUACUAAUAGCAACCAAGUCAAUGAAUUGCUUGGAUGUGAAUUUAGUUAGUAUUGACAAAGUAUUUAGAAAGUGCCUGGCCAUAGUUAAUGCUCGAUAAGUGUAAGGCACUAUGAAUGAUAUUUCUGUAAUAUAGUAUUACUUCUAUUACUACCCAUAAUAAUCAAGAUAAUGAGGUGAAUAUUAACAGUCUUCUUGGCAGGUUUGACUCAGAGCCAACCAUAGUUCCAAUUAGUUGAUUGAAAAGGGUCUAAACCCAAAAGACUGAAAAAGAAAAUAUCCUUGAAUUGGCCCCACAAAGACCCAGGAUCCCAGCUACUCUCUACCUCUUCUGGGAACUUAGCAAAUCACAUCUUCUGGGGGUUUCUUGUGAGGCUCAAGCCUGAGAAGCUCUAAGUUGGAUAGUUAUUUUUUCUACUCUAGAAGAAUCAAUGAUGCUAGAAGAAAACCAUUUCUUUAAUAGCAGUAGCAAAACCAGCUCAGCCAAGUUCCAUGAGUGAUGAGGAAGGUGCUACACAGCUAUCAAUGCUUACUAGGCAACAAGCUGUAUAACAAAAAGACAAGCCUCUUUGCACCCUUGUAAAGUCCAUAAAUAAAAUGACCAAGAACCCCAAUGUGAUGGAGUGAGUGAAUGUGACAUAUACUGGCUUUCGUUCAAAAAAUUUAAAAAGAGCAUAUACAGAUAUAAUUUUAAGUUGAAGGCACUGUGGGGAGUAUGAGGAUAAAACAGGCUCUGGGUUCUCUAGUGUAUAAUGAAAGUAAAAUAUGUCCACAAAUAGCUCUAAUGCAAAGCAGGAAGUAGUAAAUGUCAAAGAAAUCCACAGAUGUGGUGCAAUUAAAGCGCUAAGACGGUAGAGAGGGUUUCCUGUAUAAGGGAUCAGAGGGAGCUCUGCAGCGGAAGUGGCAUUUGAAUAACUUUUAGCAUCUGUUAAGGACUCAUAUGCCAACUACCAACCUUCUCCCCUCCACCCAUGGACCAAGCAUUUAGCCCAUGCUAAUAAUGCCCCCAUCCUCCUUUACUUGGCAAAUAUUUACUCAUUUUGGAAGACUCACCUUAAGGGUUAUUCUUCUAAGGCUCCCUCCUGGAAUAGAUCUGGCCAUAUCUUAUUGGGGAACACACACAAUUUUGUAUCCACUUCUCUCCCUUUGACAUUUUAACUCAUUACUAUGUUACCUUUCCUGUCUUUUUCACUGAAUGGUGAUCCCCAUAAAGGUGUAUGGGUAAUGAUCCUCCAAACCCAGGGGUACAAAACUUUGUGGAAUGAUUGAGCUCUACUUUUUACAAUGCAGACAUCUCCUGAAGAAAAAUUUACUACCAUUUGUGAAAAGGAAAAACUUGAAAGAAAAGGAGAAGGGUGCUCCUUGUAUGUGAUUGUCUGAUAAUGGUGAUCUGGUUUAAUUGUCAUGAUCCAAAUAUUCCCAGUUGGCGUUAUUAUCUCCUUUCACUCCUGUGGAAAUUGAGGUUCAAAGAUUAAAGAACUUGUCCAAAAUCACAGAGCUUUUAAACUAGGUAUCUGGGAUUUGAAUCCAAGUGGUUUUCUUCACUGAGUAAUGUUCCUGAAUGAGGAGAUACAUCGGCAAAGUGAUGUAGAUGCACACCUCUGAGGGUUAGUCAGUAUUAAAUAGCCAAUAAACACUUCGACCAAAUCUAAAAUGAGUGCUUCUCACCACCCCUCAAGACCACAAUGGAAUUCACUCUUUGCCUUCCUGGAGAAAAUGCAUCUCUUCCUGAGAAAGGGAAACCAGUGUUCUUCUUCCUCCCUUUCUUUCUAACUUCUUCCUCAAUCUCGUCUUUAAUCUCUCUUUCUUUCUCUUCAUGAAUGGAGUGAAAGAUUAACAACCUCCAGUGAAGAUGAUGGUGAUGAUGAUGGCUGGGCCAAUAUUAUGCUAGGAUAUUUGUUCAUCCCCUAAAUGGCUUUAGUAUGUACAAUGACACAAGAUUGAAGUUUAAUUUUAAUUUUUGAUAUUAUAGGAAACAAGGUAAAAGCUGAAUUUUUUGUUUAAAAAUUGUUUCAUACGGAAAAACCAGAAGAGAAUAAAAUGAUUUACAUGCAAAUCAGACAUCAUUUAUAAUUGAAAAACCAUAAAAACAAAUUUAAAAGCCUGAAAAAAUUCAAUGUUCAAUAAUAAUAAAUUAUUAUAAUCUAUACAUAUGGAAUAUUCCACAUUCAUUUAAAUAUGUUUACAAAGAAUGUGAGAUAAAAUAUUGUGAUGUGUUAUUAAUUUGGACAUCAGAUAACAAAAAUAUGAAAAGUGAAAGUCUAAUUUCAUAAACACUAUAUAUACAUAUACAUACAUAAGUAUAUACGUAUUAAAGAGAAAAGAAAGACAUGGGAAAAUAUUGACAGUAGCUAGCUCUGGCUGAUUCUAUAGCUGGUGAUUCUAUAGUUUCCUAAUUCUACCAGUAGCAUGGUAUUCCUUUGUAAUCAGGAAAUAAAUUCAGAUUUGAUAAAUGCAUAUCAAGUACAUGGAAUUUCAUCUUGCAAUUCUUCUUAGCCAAAAAAAAAAACGUGUGUUUUUGUUUGGUGUUUGUUGCUUCAUCCCAACCACUGUUUCCAGGAAGGAAGCUCUGUCAUCCUGAAGCUUGUGUUUAUUUAUACCUCUUCACUCUUUCUCUCAUCAGUCUGCCUUCCAGAAAACAUUCUUAGUAUAGUUCAGUGUAUUAAAAACAACAUAAUCUUAAGGGUGAGGCAGAUCUGAGUCUGAAUUCAUUUUUCCAUAUUUCUCAUCUGCACUGUCUUCAAAAAACUACUUUCUCUGAGUUUCAACUUCGUGAUCUAGCGAGAAUUAAAUGGGACUGCAUAUGCGGAGCAACCAACAGAGCCCCUGGGACACAAUGCAUUAAUCGCUAACACAGGUCAUUACUUCUUCCUGCUUCUUUUCUCUGCACCCCUCCAAACAUACUGAUUUUUCAAGUUCCAACUCCCAUUCUCGCUCAAAGUCUUUCAUGAUUCUCUCUGGGCAGCUGAGGUGUCAAUCUCUAACGAUGUUUUCUGGACAACUCAGCUCUUCUACACAGCUUCAUAUAUUUAGUCAGUGCAUAGUUGGCCCCCUUCAAAAUAAAAGCAAUAACCUAUCCAUAGCAUCCAAGACUUUCAUUUAUUAUAAGCAUUCAAUCAGCAGUUUAUAUGCAGAGCUGAGUCUUAUCAAGUUGUGUUCUGAAGGCUAAAGUAAACUUAUGAGUUGUAAUAUAGAGUAGUGAAAACUGCAGUCUGCAGUCUUGUUUCCUCUUGUUUUACCUGGAACAUGCUGAAAAGCUAUCAGUGGCCCGUGGGUGGUACCUAGUGGCUGGAUCUGAGUUGUCAAGAUAGAAUGUCACCAUCCAGAGAGACAAGAGACUUAAAAAGCCCCAGAAUAGUCCUGAUCCUUGUCAGACUGAGGAAAAGUGCUAAGAACAUAAAUUGGUGAGUGCAUUUGAUAAGGUGAAGUAAAGUAGUUGGGUCCUACAGCUAUAAUUUCUUCUCUUACAAGUCCGUCAGUCAAGUAGAUUACUUGGGAGUUCAGUUUCUAUGGGAUGGAAGCAGGAAAAGACAGAGAAGAGCAGAGGCACUCAAUCACCUCCUUCAGGUAUGUUUCUAUUAGUACUUUCAGUUUAAAAUUAUGACAUGCCAAAUCAAAUGAUUAAAUCCCAAGUUUUAGGCCACAAUGUACUAAAUGUCUGGAAUGCCAUUAUUUUACUUCUAAGAUGCCACUGGUUCUUUUAUUUUCAUAAUUUACUUUCCUUCCAAGCAGUGAACAAUAUAAACAAGGCUUUUCUGAUAUUUGAUAAUUUAAAAUCAUCUUUAAUAUAUCCUCAAUAUGACAUUCUUCUCUGAGAUCCUUUCAAAAUCUUUAAUUUUUUUUAUGUUCAGGAGAAAACAAACUAUACAACCUCUUCCUGAUGGUGUCUAGGAUGUAAAUCAGAAUAACUAUAUAGGUGGGAAUCAUGUGUCAUGCUGUCAGUUGAGAUUGAGUUUUUUCUUCCAAAAGUUGAAAUAAAAACACACUAAACAAGGCAUGGAAGAAUUCUUUUUUCUUAUGUUGCCUCCAUGGAGGAAAGUUUGAUUGCUUGGCUUAGGUCAAUUCUUUUAGGAAAUUUACAAAUGAAGAGGAAGGCUUUUAAGAAAAUUUUGGUCAUAAAUAUAAAUAAGAUUUUGAUGCCAGAGAGUAAUUAGUGCUUUGUUCCUCUUUUGAACAGCAAGGGAGGAAGGGUUUUUUUGGCUCUCUCUCAUUCAGUUCUAUUGACCUGCCAAAAUUUUACACAAUUUGGUAACAUCUAUUAUUUCUUUUUACAUAUAGUUAUUGCUGUCCCUUUUAUGAAAUCUUACUUGUGUUAUCUCUUGUUUCUUCCUUUCUUUUAUUUAUUUGCAUGUCAUAAAAAUGCUGAAUUUGUGCAACUUUCAGGUAAUUAUUUUUAUGAGCUCACUGGAGGUUAUCUUCAAUGCUAUCACAAAGCCUUCCAGUGGUCAAUGAAUCAUGCAGAAUAUUUCAUGAUUUCUCAUCAGGAUUGCUACAAAAACAUAGACCAGUCCAUAGAAAUACUUUUAAAAGAUGGGAGCAAAGAGUAUUCUGAAAACAUUGUUUUUCUAAUUAUAAACACACUAUACACACUGUGAAAUAUUUAGAAAAUAUUAAAAGAAAGUGUAAAGAAAUAAACUUCCUCAUAAAUAUUUUUAAUAUUUUAUUUAUCUUCUUGUUACAUAUGCAAUCACAAUGCAAAUGUAGAGCUUUGUACUCUGAUUUCUUUUUGUAUAUCAGAAAGAGAAUAUUUUCCUUUGCCACCAAAGAGUUUCCAAAAUUAUUUAAUAAUUAUUUUAUGUUAUUGUGUGAAUAAACUAAACUGAAUUCAAUUGACUUUAUACUAUUUUGGAUUUUUAUCUGGAAAAACAAAACAAGACCUAACAUAGAAAUAUAUAAAGACAUGGUUUUAUGUAGUUUAAUUUGGUCUGGUUAUGGAAUCCCAAGCCCUACCUCCAAAAAAAAAAAAAAAAAAAAAAAAAAAA
rnacentral:lncRNA from 1 species